UGCAUAUCAAUAAGCGGUGGAAAAGAAACCGACGGGGAUUGCAUCCGUACCGGCGAGUGAAGCGGCAAAAGCUCAAAUUCGAAAUCUAGCACAUUUGGUGUUCGACUUGUAAUUUGAAGAUGGUAAUCUAGGGUUUGGCUCUCGUSCAUGUUCCUUGGAACAGGAUGUCAUAGAGGGUGAGAAUCCCGUUGGCUGAGAUGCCCAUUCCUUUGUAAGAUACUAUUGAAGAGUCGAGUUGUUGGGGAAUGCAGCUCUAAGUGGGUGGUAAAUUCCAUCUAAAGCCAAAUAUUGGCGAGAGACCGAUAGCGAACAAGUACAGCGAUGGAAAGAUGAAAAGAACUUUGAAAAGAGAGUGAAUAAGUACGGAAAAAGUAGGAAGGGAAGGGCAUUAGAUAGGACUAAAAUGGAUUCAAGGUCUCUGUUCGGGAGCCGUGCGGUGGUAUUUCGUCGGGCCAGCAUCGCCUGCGACGGUUUUAUCAGGUCAGAGAACGCGGGGACAGUUGCGGAGUGCAAUGGCAUAGACUUGUAGCACCCACCUGGAUCGGAGGGAGCACCGUC
rnacentral:rRNA from 1 species